GGGUUAUGGAAUUAACAAAAUAGUCCAGAGACGGUCUGGACCAACGCUGGAAAGAGAACCGGUUGACCUCAUUCAUCGAACUCACUGGACCCCUUUUGCUUCUUAUGUCCCUCUGCUGCUCUUACAAAGAAUAAUAUCAUUCGUGUCUUUAACCAGUGCUACAUAGCUAACUUAUUUUGUCGACAUAACUCGUUGGGAACGCGAUGUGCUCACUGUAUGUCGUACCACCACUCCAUACGUUCUUAUAAUCAGUAUUUGUUUUAAUUUAUCAGUCAUAUCCAUCUCCGUGCCUGUGGUUUGGUAAUCAAUUGGUCGGACUCUGACAGCAUCGAGAAGACGGUUGAUGUUAGCUUCAGAGCUAACCGUUACUGAGCCAGUCUUAGUGGCUAAAAAUAACUGGUGAAACUGGUGGGCUUCGGUCCACGUUUGACUUCCGUCUUUGGCUUUAUUUUUUCUGGUGACCUUGCUCAGAGUUUGACGCUCUACAUGGUCACUACACAGGGAUCGGGACAAGCGGAAGAGCGAGUCGGACCUCGAGGCUGCGAGCCGAGCUGGCCUGAUCGGGCUUCGGGUCUCACAGCGGACCGCACUCGGCUACGGCUGAUCGGUGGCCGGAUGACGUUUUGCUGUGAUGGGCUUAUCUUGUUAUCGGUGGUGAUAUAAGUAGCCUCGGUUCGAUCCAGGGAAAAACCGAGACUUUGCGAAGGGAUCAGAGUAAAAGCGACCUAUUUCCAACUUUCUGAGACUUUCAGAAGCUGCGCAUCAUGACGGAGGAUCACAAUGCAGAAAAGUUCAUCAAGGACGCCUCCAUCUUGGAUGAGUACAUCAUCAACUGGACGCAGAAAUUGGGAGCUGGAAUCAGCGGACCUGUGAGAGUUUGUGUGAAGAAGUCAACUCAGGAACGCCUGGCCCUGAAAAUCCUCAUCGAUCGCCCCAAGGCCAGAAAUGAGGUGCGUCUUCACAUGAUGUGUGCCAACCACCCAAACAUCGUGCAAAUCCUGGAGGUGUACGCCAACACUGUCCAGUUCCCUCACGAGUCCAGUCCAAGAGCAAGACUCCUGAUCGUUAUGGAGAUGAUGGAGGGUGGCGAGCUCUUCCACAGAAUCAGUCAGCACAAGCACUUUACUGAAAAGAUGGCCAGUCAAGUCACCAAACAGAUCAGCCAAGCGUUGGCUCAUUGCCACUCCUUGAAUAUUGCACAUCGUGACCUAAAGCCAGAGAACCUGCUCUUCAAAGAUAACUCUCUGGACGCACCUGUGAAGCUGUGUGACUUUGGCUUUGCCAAAAUCGAUCAAGGAGACUUGACGACCCCUCAGUUUACCCCUUACUACGUAGCACCUCAGGUACUUGAGGCUCAAAGAAGACACCAGAAAGAAAAGUCUGGAAUUAUACCUACCUCACCAACUCCUUACACGUAUAACAAGAGCUGUGACUUGUGGUCGCUGGGUGUGAUCAUCUACAUCAUGCUGUGCGGCUAUCCUCCGUUCUACUCAAAGCAUCACAGCCGCACCAUCCCUAAGGACAUGAGGAAGAAGAUUAUGACGGGCAGCUUUGAUUUCCCAGAAGACGAGUGGAGCCAGAUAUCUGAGAUGGCCAAGGACAUUGUACGCAAGCUUCUAAAGGUAAAGCCUGAGGAAAGGCUGACUAUUGAGGGAGUCCUGGCUCACCCCUGGCUGAACUGCACCGAGGCGUUGGAUAAUGUGCUGCCGUCUGCACAGAUGAUGAUGGACAAGGCGGUUGUUGCAGGCAUCCAGCAGGCCCACGCAGAACAGCUCGCCAACAUGAGAAUUCAGGAUCUGAACGUCAGCCUGAAGCCUCUGAACUCCGUCAACAACCCGAUCCUCAGAAAGCGGAAACUGCUGGGCCCCAAGCCCACUGAUAGUUUCUUCAUUCACGACCCAGAGGACGGCGGGGAAGACACCAACGUAGCUCUGGAGAAGCUGAGAGAUGUCAUAGCACAGUGUAUACUACCACAGGCUGCCAGGAGAAAACAGGGAUGAGAAGUUGAACGAGGUGAUGCAUGAAGCCUGGAGGUUCAACAGAGACUGUAAGCUGCUGAGAGACGGCCUGCAGGGUCUCAGCUGGGAUGGGCGAUCUUUCUCCGAUAAGGUUGACCGCUUGAAAUUGGCUGAAAUUGUGAAACAGGCCAUCGAAGAAAAGACGAAUCUCCAAGAUUCUCAUUAGCCAACCCUCACUUUCUAUCCCUUUUUUAUUGUUUAUUAUGAAUUUUUUAAAAUUCAUAUCUGUAAAGACUCUUAUGUCUAAUGAUGUUCAGUUUUGUUCUGUUAUUUUAUUUUUAUUUUUUGCCUUGAUGAUUUCACUUGUAAAAUCCUGUAAUUGACCUAUACUGGAAGAGCUACUGUACAGCUGUACAUAUUUCAGAUUUGUUGGUACUAUCAUUUUAGAAGAAAAAAAAACAAUUAUAAAGAACAUAAAAAAAUAUAUUUUCAUUUUUACUAAAACAAAAGAGAAAUCUGUGAAAGAAAUUAUUUUUUGGUAGGGAAUUUUUAUUAGCUGGUUAUCAAAGAUGUCGUGUUUUAUCCUGAUUAUUUCCUCUGUUUUUGUUUUUCUUUAAUUAUACUCUGAAAAGUUUUAUUUAUUUGAACUAAAAAAAUUCCAAGAUUUUAUAUCUUUCUGGUAGCUUGAUAGUGACUCUAAAUUUUAGAGAAGCUGUCUAUGAUGUGACCUUUGAUCUUCCACUCUGCCUGCAGGUAUAUAACAGCUAUUGUCUCAUUUGUUUAGUUUUUCUGUAGACUUCUUUGCUGUUUUUAAUAUGUAGGAGAAGGAAGAAUGGGAAAGUGAUGUGAAAGAAAGUGUCAUGUACCUUUGUUUUAUGAGCUCAGUGGGAUUCUAAAGAAAACAAUUUCUGAAAUAAUAAUUAGUUGGAAAAAGUUCUGUUAAUCCUAAUCCACAUGAGGCACGGAAGGUUUUGCCUUUUAUUGUAAAUCAGUAACGUUGCUGACAGAAAUGCUCGUGUGUUGCAUCACGUUUAAUGAGUAAAGGUCAAAAUUUUAGGGGGUGUUUGUGCAGACAUGAGCCACAGUAAAUGAAAAAAUCUGAGUUCAUCCUCACAUUGAGUUGGCCAAGCUGAGGGUAGCAGAAAUGAGGUUUUCAGUCCGUCGUCGUACCUCCUACCUGGAGGUAGCAGGGUAGAUCCUCCCCUUAAAGUAUGGCUGCAGUUAUCCAGAUGAAUUUAGCGUUCUGUAGAGGUCUGGUGGUGUUGAGUUCAUUCAGUGGUAUGCUGGCUGUUUUUACUGUUUCUUUACUCUGUAGACCAGGCAUCCCCAAAGUCGGUCCUGGAGGGCCGCUGUCCUGCAGGUUUUAGAGGUUUCCCUGCUCCAGCACAGCUGAUUUACAUUGAUAGUUGAUUAACAGGCAUUUGCUGAACUGCAAUCAUCAGAAUCAGCUGUGCUAAGCAGAGAAACCUCUAAAACCUGAAGGACAGCGGCCCUCCAGGACCGACUCUUGGAAUGCCUGCUGUAGACCAUUCAUGUUAGCUGAAGGUGAGCCUUACCAGACAUGAUAAAACCAAAUUACCAGAACUGACACUAAAAGUGCAAAGACCUUUUUUCUGCCACAAUUGGUUGUUACUGAAAUAAAGCAUGAAAUCGCUUCAUCUGAAUGAGGGUUUCAAAUAUGUUGUGCUCUAUCUUCAUGUGCUAAGAAAGGGGAUUUUUUUUUAUGUGGUCAACUAAGAGCCUUUUUAAUUCAGAGUUGCCUCGGCGUUUGUCUAUUUUUUAUUUUUUGUGAAGAAGACGCUACUGAAAACUUAAAACUACUGAAGAUCUGUUAUUCACACAGCGUUAGAAGUCCAGCUUCGAUGUAAAAACACAAAACAAAGAAAAUACAAAGUUCCUUAUAGUUUCAUGGAUAACAUGAAAAAUUUUUUGUGAACAAGAAACAAAA